GUGUAGCUCUUCCUAUCUGUUGGGUGGCUUUGGGGUUGAGCUAAGAGCCAAAGGAUUAGUAGAAUUUAGUUGGGUAAAGAAAAAGGACACGAGGGAAGAGGCUCCCAGAUAAUGGCAUGUGAGCAGUGUAGUUGGAGCACAGAGGGGAAGAGCCAAGGUGGAGAUUAGCUUAGGAGAAGUAGGCAGAGGCAAUAAGUGUGUAUAACGAAUAAUUUCUAAGUGAAGUCAUUAGUUUUGAGCUUUGUAACUAGACAGGCAGCACUGAAAGCCAGAUCCUGUUCAGGCAGUCCUAGACUUUGAGGUAGGUGAUGGCAUAUGCAGAGCGCUCCAAAGCAUUUGUUCAGCUAAACCAAGUGUUGAUCCCUUCCAGCUGGAUUUGAGUGAGCGCCAUAAGUGAGCUGAGGAGCCCCAGCCCUGAGUGGCUGGUGAGGACAAGGAAGGAAGCAGACCUUUUAACCAAAAGAACGCCCUGAAAUUCAAGUCCGGUGGAAAUUGUCUUGGUUGUUGAGACUGUCUCUUAACUUUUUUUUUAUUAUAGUGUUUGUAAUAUUUAAAUAAUUUUGGCUGCAUUGAUCCCUUUUACGCAAGGGAACUUUCAGCCUCUUAGGGCUGAUAGAUUGUUCAUCAGUGAUUUGCACAAAGAAGCAAGAGAAAACUCUUGUUUUCAUCCCAGUCUUUGAUUGUCAGAGCUGGCUGUUUGGGGUUCCAGACAGUGGCUGCUAAUGCAGCUUCCACUGACCGUAUGUCAGGAAGUUGAUCUUUGUCGAAGAAUCCUUUUCUCUCCAGAGUAUCUGGAAAAAGAAUUGUAAAGCUGGAGAUAGCCAUUCAAUGAACUAGAAAACUUCCAGCCCCCUCUGGCAUUGCUAAAAUGACACAGACCCGUUGUCUGUCGUUUAUUUAGAAUUCCAACUAUGGAGGAAAUGAACCUGGGCCUCCAUCUUUCUUUUUUAUCGUACAGACAAUACUUUUGCCAAUACACCUAAAUCCCCAAAGUGAUGAGAAAGUAAGAAAUUACCUCAAAGAGCCGUAAAUUCUAACCUUGGGUUCUUUUCACCUUGGACUUUGCUUUAGGGUUUAUUAGAUGGAGAUGGAGCCAGUCUUCCUUGUUUAAAUCAAGAUAUUUCCUGCCCUUCCUAGCUCUUCAGGCUGCUGCUGAGAUGCUUCCAGUAUAAAUUCUCUUCUGCAGCCUGACCACAUCGUGAUUCUUCCCUCUCCCAGGGGCAUCUUCAUACCCAGGGAUUGACUUUGUUUUAGUCGAUACAGAGGGUACUGCUGGGCAUAACUGGUUUCUUCCACGGUCAGACAUCCAUGAACACCUGGAGCUACAAAGCUGUGGAUCCCGUUCUCUCUCUCUUUCUCUGUCGGUCUCUGUCUCUGUCUGUCUCUCUCUCUCUCAAAUAUUUAUUGAUCUCGUCUCUUUGGUGCAGCUCCUGCAGAGGAGUCUCUGGAGUUUGGCAGGCUCGCUGGGUCGUGUUCCGUUCAGUUUCCCAAGCACUAGAUACAGUGUUCACCACGGUCAGUGGCAUUGUGACCCAAAUUUAUUAUCAGGGGCUCAAAUACACCGAGCCUAAAGAUUUAUGCAGAAUCCAGAGUACAGUCACUCCCUCUUGAGAGUUCAGACCUUCCUGGUAAUGAGGGCCCUCUGAGGCAUCAGGAAGUUAAUAAGAUCUCUUACACACAUUCAAAUUAAGGCUUUGCAAAACCACCCUGUUGUUUCACUGUGGGGAACCAGAGCUGUUGCCACUUGUGCUAUAAGAACUUGGUUCUUUCAUUGGAAUUAAAGGAAUUUGCCCUUCAGCAGCUGUCAAAGGAUGAGUAUCUAACUGUUGGGUUUGUUGUUUGGAAAGCAGUGUAGUGCCAGGAAGGCCUGCCUGAUAGAGUUCAGGAGACUACAGUCCCUUCUAACCCCUGUUUACUCAUGCCCAGAUUUAGUGUUUGCCAGCCCCUGAGAGCCCCUGUACCGUCCCCCCAGGCUCUUCCUGUUCUGGCUACUAUAGCUUUCUUCAGACAUGCCCUCCUCUCUCUCUCUGACCAUAGGGCCUGGGUCUGUUACCUCUACCAGAAUACUCCUUCAUCGAAUGAACGAACCCCUAUCCAUUCUUUAGAACAGUGAGUGCUUCUUAGAGGGGAAUCACCUGAGAAGCUUGUUAAAUAAAAUGCAGAUUCUCCUUCAGUAGCUCUUGGAAGGGUCUGGGAUCUGGCUUUUCUGACAAGCUCCUGGGUGAAGCUGGUGCAACUGGUCCUCUGGGACUCCUUCUUCCUUCUGCAGUUUAGUCAAGUCUUCUAUUUUACAUGCCUCUGACGUUGUAAGCCUUUCCUUCAUAGAGAACUCUUGACUACUGUAUCGUUUCUCUAAAUGCAUGCCAUUGUCUGAUGAAUGUUUUUCUACUAAAGUAUGAGCCCUACAAGAGUGCAGAGUGCAGGGACCACCUGUGGUUUUUGCUCACCCCUUUGUUCCCAGCACCUAUCACAAUAUGGCGUACAGGGUGCAUUGUGUCCUUAGGAUGCGCAGAUAAAUAGUUGACUGUGUGCUGGCUUUUGACAGAAUGGUUAAAUUUAUUGGUCUGAGAUGCAUGAGAUUAUAAAACCCAGGAGUUUGAGCCAAGUUGUAAAAACUCAGUCAUGGUCUUCAUUAUUUUCAAGGAAAAGACCUCCUUGAAUAUUUAAAUUUCAUGUCAAGCAGAAAGAGCCUAAGGUGAUUUCAGACUGAGGUGGAUAGUAAAUGGUCCUUAGUAUUCAUUCUGUGAAAGGGGUUGUGCCAGACCAGCUGGACUCUUGUGGUUCCAAAGUACUAUAUUCUUUAUUUUUUUAACAUUCUUUUUUAUUGAGGUAAAAUUCAUAUAAUAUAAAUAUAACCAUUUUAAAACAUAGAAUUCAGUGGCAUUUAGUACAUUGACCGUGCUAUAUAACCAUCAACUUUAUUUCCAAAGCAUUUUCAUCACCCCCGAAGGAAUACCCCACCCAAGGUAUUAUCUUCUUAGCUCAACAUUUCUAAAAUUUUGUGGUCUCAGCACCCCUUUACACUCGUAAAAAUUACUAAGGGCUCCAGCAGCCUUAGUUUUAUAUGGAUUAAAUCUAUCUGUAUUUACAGUAUUUGAAAUUAAAACUGAAAAAAAAAAUUAAAGAUUUAUUUAUAAAUUCAUUAAAUGACAUCUUACAUUUUUGUAAAUCUCGUUAACGUCUGACUUAGUAGAAGUUAACUAGAUGAUAAUAUCUUCUUUAUCCAACCUAUUGCUGUACAUUUUGUCGUUAAAGGAUUUGGGAAAAAAAAUCCCACCACACACACAUAUACGUACUUUGAAAAGGAAGACAUAUUUUUAAAAACCUUUUCGGGUGAUACUGGAUAUUGUUUUUUGUUACUACACCAAAACUCAGCAAGUGGUAAUUAAAGGUUUGUUGAAGUGUGGAAAAUGAAAUCAUGUCAGUGAGCUUUUUACUCACAAUUGCACUAAAACCUAGUGGCCUGCCUUGGCGCUUUGAAUAGUUCUUUUACCCAUGCAUUUUUUUUUAAAAAACAUCUUUAUUGGAGUACAAUUACCCCACAAUGGUGUGCCAGCCUCCGCCCCACAACAAAGUGAAUGCGCCACACAUACACAUAUGUUCCGAUAUCUCCCCCCACCCAUCUCUGCGUCUACCUUCCUCCCA